UAAUACGGAGGGUGCGAGCGUUGUCCGGAAUCACUGGGCGUAAAGGGCGCGUAGGCGGCCGUGUAAGUCACUUGUGAAAUCCCGGGGCUCAACUCCGGGGCUGCAGGUGAGACUGCGUGGCUAGAGCACGGUAGAGGCGAGUGGAAUUCCCGGUGUAGCGGUGGAAUGCGUAGAUAUCGGGAAGAACACCGGUGGCGAAGGCGGCUCGCUGGGCCGUUGCUGACGCUGAGGCGCGAAAGCGUGGGGAGCAAACAGGAUUAGAUACCCUGGUAGUCCACGCCGUAAACGAUGGGUACUAGGCGUCGGGGGGAGCGACCCUCCCGGUGCCGUCGCUAACGCAGUAAGUACCCCGCCUGGGGAGUACGGUCGCAAGACUG
rnacentral:rRNA from 1 species